UGCCACAGCCAUAUCACCCUGCAGCCCAAGACGGGUUACUCAAUGAAGCUAAGCAGGGCUGAGCCUGGUCAAUACCAGGAUAGGAGACCACAUGGAAACACUAGGUUGCUGUUGGAA
ensembl:rRNA 5S_rRNA 5S ribosomal RNA